rnacentral:rRNA from 1 species
AAUGAACGCUGGCGGCAUGCCUAACACAUGCAAGUCGAACGAAGCCUUCGGGCUUAGUGGCGCACGGGUGCGUAACGCGUGGGAAUCUGCCCUUGGGUUCGGAAUAACUCUCCGAAAGGAGUGCUAAUACCGGAUGAUGUCGAAAGACCAAAGAUUUAUCGCCCAGGGAUGAGCCCGCGUAGGAUUAGCUAGUUGGUGAGGUAAAAGCUCACCAAGGCGACGAUCCUUAGCUGGUCUGAGAGGAUGAUCAGCCACACUGGGACUGAGACACGGCCCAGAAUCCUACGGGAGGCAGCAGUGGGGAAUAUUGGACAAUGGGCGAAAGCCUGAUCCAGCAAUGCCGCGUGAGUGAUGAAGGCCUUAGGGUUGUAAAGCUCUUUUACCCGGGAUGAUAAUGACAGUACCGGAAGAAUAAGCCCCGGCUAACUCCGUGCCAGCCGCCGCUGUAA